rnacentral:rRNA from 1 species
CCUACGGUAUGCAGCAGUGGGGAAUAUUGGACAAUGGGGGGAACCCUGAUCCAGCGACGCCGCGUGAGUGAAGAAGUAUUUCGGUAUGUAAAGCUCUAUCAGCAGGGAAGAAAGAAAUGACGGUACCUGACUAAGAAGCCCCGGCUAACUACGUGCCAGCAGCCGCGGUAAUACGUAGGGGGCAAGCGUUAUCCGGAUUUACUUGGUAUAAAGGGAGCGUAGACGGCGAUGCAAGUCUGAAGUGAAAGGCGGGGGCCCAACCCCCGGACUGCUUUGGAAACUUUAUGGCUGGAGUGCAGGAGAGGUAAGUGGAAUUCCUAGUGUAGCGGUGAAAUGCGUAGAUAUUAGGAGGAACACCAGUGGCGAAGGCGGCUUACUGGACUGUAACUGACGUUGAGGCUCGAAAGCGUGGGGAGCAAACAGGAUUAGAUACCCUAGUAGUC